UCCAGACUCCUACGGGAGGCAGCAGUGAGGAAUAUUGGUCAAUGGGCGCGAGCCUGAACCAGCCAAGUAGCGUGAAGGAUGACUGCCCUACGGGUUGUAAACUUCUUUUAUAAAGGAAUAAAGUGAGCCACGGGUGCCUUUUUGUAUGUACUUUAUGAAUAAGGAUCGGCUAACUCCGUGCCAGCAGCCGCGGUAAUACGGAGGAUCCGAGCGUUAUCCGGAUUUAUUGGGUUUAAAGGGUGCGCAGGCGGAAUGUCAAGUCAGCGGUAAAAUUUCGGGGCUCAACCCCGUCGUGCCGUUGAAACUGGCGUUCUUGAGUGAGCGAGAAGUAUGCGGAAUGCGUGGUGUAGCGGUGAAAUGCAUAGAUAUCACGCAGAACUCCGAUUGCGAAGGCAGCAUACCGGCGCUCAACUGACGCUCAUGCACGAAAGCGUGGGUAUCGAACAGGAUUAGAUACCCUAGUAA
rnacentral:rRNA from 1 species